rnacentral:tRNA from 1 species
GGCUCUGUGGCGCAAUGGAUAGCGUGUUGGACUUCUAAGUUAGGCAUUGGAGAUAUUCAAAGUUUGUGGGUUCGAGUCCCACCAGAGUCA